ACGAACGCUGGCGGCGUGCUUAACACAUGCAAGUCGAACCGAAAGGCCCUGCUUUUUUCGCGUGCUCGAGUGGUUACCGACUGAUUAAUAAGUGAUUAAUCUCCCCUUGACUUUCGGAUGACUUCUGUUAACUACGGCUACUACCGCCUCAUAGCUCCUGCUGCUUGGUGGUGUCUGCUAAGUUUCGGCGGUUGCGGCAGUACGCGCGGCUUAUCCGCUUGUUGGUGGGGUAGUGGCGUACCAAGGCGUUGACGGGUAGCCGGCCUGAGAGGGUGACCGGGCACAUUGGGACUGAGAAACGGCCAAGACGCAUACGGGGGGAAGCAGUGGGGAAUAUUGCAAGAUGGGCGGAAGCCGGAAGCAGCAACGCCGCGUGCGGGAUGACGGCCGUAGGGCUGUAAACCGUUUUAGCCUGUGAAGAAGCGUGAGUGACGGUAAUGUGUAAAGAAGCAACGGCUAACUACGUG
rnacentral:rRNA from 1 species